AUGCACGCUGGCGGCGUGCCUAAUACAUGCACGUCGAGCGAACAGACGAGGAGCUUGCUCCUUCGACGUUAGCGGCGGACGGGUGAGUAACACGUAGGUAACCUACCUAUAAGACUGGGAUAACUUCGGGAAACCGGAGCUAAUACCGGAUAAUAUUUCGAACCGCAUGGUUCGAUAGUGAAAGAUGGCUUUGCUAUCACUUAUAGAUGGACCUGCGCCGUAUUAGCUAGUUGGUAAGGUAACGGCUUACCAAGGCAACGAUACGUAGCCGACCUGAGAGGGUGAUCGGCCACACUGGAACUGAGACACGGUCCAGACUCCUACGGGAGGCAGCAGUAGGGAAUCUUCCGCAAUGGGCGAAAGCCUGACGGAGCAACGCCGCGUGAGUGAUGAAGGUCUUCGGAUCGUAAAACUCUGUUAUUAGGGAAGAACAAACGUGUAAGUAACUGUGCACGUCUUGACGGUACCUAAUCAGAAAGCCACGGCUAACUACGUG
rnacentral:rRNA from 1 species